UUACAAGAGUAAUAACCCUGUGGAGCACCGAAUGAAUGAAUUAUUUGUUUUUUUUUCUCAGCUGCGUACAUCAUAUGUAAACGUAGGUUAUUAAUGACCUUCCGUACGGGUUUUAACUGACUCUAGCAAAUUGACAAAUUGUGCUCCUUCGGAAAGGACCGUUGGGCGUAAUGCGAAAGGAACUCAUCUGACUUUUAAAUUACAGAGACAUAGAUCCCUAACAGGUAGAACCUAUUUUUAUGGGUUCACAUAUAAGCGACACAUAUCUCUCACCAACUGAAGUUAGAGGAAGCUAUAGUAUAAGUUAGAUGAGCCUCCUCCGCGUAACGACGACGACGUGCACGUGCACACAGUCGUGUGCUUUUGCUGCUAAGAAAAUACGAAAGAUAUAAAUAUAUGGCUGGCUUUUCUCUUCCUUCUUUUUGUUGCUCGGGUAAAAUCAAUUUUCCGCUUGUCGAUCGCUAGCUAGCUAGUAGCUAGUCGACGACUAGUCUAGCUCCUAUAUCAAACAAUAACUUUUUGAGAAGAAGUUGACAAUAUAUGUUAGCAUAUUUCAAACUAUAUAUUGCGUAAAUAUGUGCAGUACUGAUUAUUUGUGAUCCAGAGAAGUAUACAAAGUAAUGUAAUCUGGGAUUUGAUAAGUACAAAUUGGGACGUACGGCGAGAGGCGUGGGACCGGUACAAAAGCGAGAUUAUGGCAGAGAGAGGCUGCAGAAAUCGUGGCUGCUCAUGCGUGGAAAUCUAACCUUUUAUGUAACUAUAAAACUCAUUAAAUACAAAUCUAUAAGUUUACAUGUAAAUAUUCCCUCCGUUUCUAAAUGUUUGACACUUUUUAAGCACAUGUUUGAUCAUUCGUUUUAUUAAAAAAAUUUAUGAAAUAUGUAAAAUUAUAUAUAUACAUGAAAGCAUAUUUAACAAUAAAUCAAAUGAUAGGAAAAUAAUUAAUAAUUACUUAAAUUUGACGACGACCUCGCCGAUUCACCGUAGAUCUCCAGUGCUAUUAAUUAUUGCGCUGCGAGGAUUGCUGAAGUUUUGUUUUGUGCGGGUGCAGCUUCAAUUAACGAUGGCGCGCGCUCACCUUCUCAGGCCUUGAGGCCCUUGAGAAUCCUCGGCUGUAAGUUUUUGGUUAGUUUCCUGCUUCUUGAUGAAUCGGAAAGCAGUGCUAAAUCGACUGAUUCGGCACCGAUGAUUGAUUGUAGAAUUGUAUUGUAAAUUUCUGAAUUGGAGCCUAUAUAUUGUAGGAUCUAGUGUUUUAUUUUGGCAUGCGCGUCAAAAACGAUUUUCACAUGCAUGCAUGUGCUUAACAGCCUAAAAAAAAUGUCGAAUUUUUAUGAUCGUUCAGUUACAGGCAGGCCACGGAUCUGCAUGCGAAAAUACAUUUUUGACUAUUUGAAAAAAAAUGCUCUUUGCAGUAGUGAAAGGCUGUUCAAAAUUAAAACAUAUCAACGCACUACUACAAAAGUGAUUUUUCUGUGCGAGACCCCAUGAUUUUUGCAAACGGACCAUAACUAGUGGCGCCUGCAAAAAUCGCGCGGCAUUUUCGCAAACAGCUCCUUAAGAAGCCCGUAUGGAAAAAUCGAUUUUCCCAUACGGGUCUCUUAAGAGGUCCGCAUGCAAAAAUGAUGUCAUGGAAAGAUGGAAAGAUGGUUCUCAGCCGUAUGGAAAAACCCUAUCUAUAGUAGUGCGUUAAAGUACUUAGAAAAACAUAUCAUGUGAGGAACUAAUAAAGUCAAAAGUAGAAUUUUAAUGACCAUGCAUGAUAAAUCGAGCCUUAAUAGAUAGAUGGAGUAUAGCCGGUGUGAUCAACAACGGCUGUGGCUAAUGGGCGAUCGAUCCCCAUCCCCUGUACACUCCUCUCCCCCCCCUCCAUCCUCCUCCCCUUCUUCUCUUCCUACUACACCAUAAAUUUUUUAAAAAAUAAAAAAACAAAGUUGGAAAAAUUUAUUUAUAUAAAUAACUGGUGGAGAAAGGGUUUAUAGUCCCGGUUGAUAACCCUCUGUAGUCCUGGUUUUUUAACCGGGAUUACGAAUCCGGGACUAAAAAUGUCCAUCUUUAGUCCCGAUUGAAAUAACCGGAACUAAAAAUGCAUCUUUAGUCCCGGUUCGUAACACCAACCGGGACUAAAUCUUUAGUUCCUAUUAAUGUAAUCAACCGGGACUAAAUGUUUUUUUCUUUUUUUUCUUUUCUCAUGUUCAAUAUUUCCAAAUCACUAUAAAAAUAAAAGAUAAAAAAUCACAAUCACAGUCACACCACAAAACACAAAUAAUAGAUAGCAUGGAUCACAGAUAGUUCACAUAUUACAUAUCUCCCAACAUCAUUCACAAAUCACAGAUCGCAUCACAAAUCACCGAUCGCAUCACAAAUCACAGAUCUAACAAAUCACAGCCAUUCACAUCACAUUAAGAAGGAAAAAAAGAAAAAAAAGGUAAAAUAUCCCAUGCCGGCCACCGCCGGUGCGGGGGCCGCCUGCCACCGCCUCCGCGCCUCCGCCGCCUGCCCUCCGCGCGGGCAGCCGCCGCCGCCGGGCCCUCCGCGCGGGGCAGCCGCUGCCGGCAGCCCUCCGUACCUCCGCCGCCUGCCGCCGCCAGGACGGCCCUCCGCGCCGGCCGCCGCCAAGAAGACAGGGGAGAGGGGAAGGGGAGGAGGAGAAGGAGGAAGAGGAGAAGGACUGAGGAGGAGAACUAGUGGAGGGGCAGAAAAGCUAAGGAUAAGACUGAGGAGGGACAGACAGAUCGACGCGCCAAGAGAUAAACAUCGCGCCGGCUUGGGGUGAUUUUUAGUCCCGGUUGGUAUAAUCAAUCGGGACUAAAAAUCUAUCUGUAGUCCUGGUUGUUUAUACCAACUGCGACUAAAAAUAAUAGGGACCUGACACGACCUGACAACUUCUUCAACCGGGACUAAAAAUGAUCUUUGUCCUGGUUGGUAACACCAACCGAGACUAAAGAUCAAAAAAUACCCCUCAGCUUUUAAACCGGGACUAAAGAUGUUUUUUAGUCCCGGUUUUUAUUGGAACUGGGACUAUUGUGGAAUUUGGCCGACCGACCAAUAAUGGUUUCUCCACCGCCGGGGCGGCCCUCCGCGCCGGGGCAGCCCUCCGCGCCGGCCGCCGCCAAGAAGACAGGGGAGAGGGGAAGGGGAGGAGGAGAAGGAGGAAGAGGAGAAGGACUGAGGAGGAGAACUAGUGGAGGGGAAGAAAAGCUAAGGAUAAGACUGAGUAGGGACAGACAGAUCGACGCGCCAAGAGAUAAACAUCGCGCCGGCUUGGGGUGAUUUUUAGUCCCGGUUGGUAUAAUCAAUCGGGACUAAAAAUCUAUCUGUAGUCCCGGUUGUUUAUACCAACUGCGACUAAAAAUAAUAGGGAGCUGACACGACCUGACAACUUCUUCAACCGGGACUAAAAAUGAUCUUUGUCCCGGUUGGUAACACCAACCGAGACUAAAGAUCAAAAAAUACCCCUCAGCUUUUAAACCGGGACUAAAGAUGCUUUUUAUUCCCGGUUUUUAUUGGAACUGGGACUAUUGUGGAAUUUGGCCGACCGACCAAUGAUGGUUUCUCCACCAGUGAAUACUAUAUAUAAAAAAUAUUUAAAUUUAAAUUUAAAUUUGAAACGGGUAUGUAAACUUUUGACUUAUAAACUUUUGGUCUAUAAACUAAUAUUUGAAUUCAAAAUCAAAUUUGAAUCGGGUAUGUAAACUUUUUGACUUAUAAACUUUGGGUCUAUAAACUUUAUGUGUAUAAACUUUAUGUGUAUAAACUUUAGAUGUAUAGGAAUACUAUAUAUAAAAAUAUUUGAAUUCAAAUUCAAAUUUGAAUAGGAUAUAAUUCAAAUUGAAAUUUGAAUCGAAUAUGUAAACUUUUGACUUAUAAACUUUUGUUCUAUAAACUUUAGCUGUAUAAACUUUAAAUGUAUAGAAAUACUAUAUAUAAAAAAUAUUUGAAUUCAAAUUCAAAAUUGAAUCAGAUAUAAUUCAAAUUCAAAUUUGAAUCGGGUAUAUAAACUUGACUUAUAAACUUUGGGUCUAUAAACUUUAGUUCUAUAAACUUUAGAUGUAUAGAAAUACUGUAUAUAAAAAAUAUUUGGAUUUAAAUUCAAAUUUGAAUCGGAUAUAUAAACUUUUGAUUUAUAAACUUUGAAUCUCUAAACUUUAGAUGUGUAAACUUGAGGUGUACAAACUUUAGGUGUAUAAUAAUUUUAUUAAAAUAGAAAAGUAAUGCGGUGCCAAAAAAAAGGAAACCACGUCGAGGAGAGGGAGGCGACCCGAUCGCUAGGGGCGAUCGCCCAUUAGGAGUUUCGAUCAACAGAUGCACUAGUGAAAAAAAAAAGGAAGUGGAAGAAGAGACCUGCUGGCUGGUCGACUGCAAGAACCCCUGAUUCCAGCACGAGUAGUACAACAACGAGAGCCAAGAGCCCCAUGGAGUCUUGAAUUCCUGAUAAUUAACCCAGGAGCGAUCUAUCGGAGUUUCGACCAUGACCAAUAACUAGCUAUAUCUCCACUGCAUACACUAAGUAUGUUGAGACAUGCCGACUGGCG
rnacentral:lncRNA from 1 species